rnacentral:rRNA from 1 species
GGCUGGAUGCUGUUGUGCUGGCCCUUUGGGGCAAUGUGCACACCCUCUGGUCAUUUGUUUCUUCUGUCCCACAUGUGCACUGCCUGUAGACACUGCUGUGUCUAUGAUAAUGUUACACACACACAUGGAUGUAUGCAUAAUAUAUAUAUGUUGGUUGGCAUUUUAUGUAAAUACAACUUUCAACAAUGGAUCUCUUGGCUCUCGCAUCGAUGAAGAACACAGCGAAAUGUGAUAAGUAAUGUGAAUUGCAGAAUCCAGUGAAUCAUCGAAUCUUUGAACGCAUCUUGCGCUCCUUGGCAUUCCGAGGAGCAUGCCUGUUUGAGUGUCGUUAAACUAUCAAAACACUUUUUUUCUUGGGUGUUUUGGACUCUGGGAGUGUUUUUGCUGGUCUGUUUGAGCCGGCUCUCCUCAAAAGCAUUAGCUUUGGAGACUGUCAGUGUGAUAAUUUUGCUUGACACUGACUCGAGCGUCUCUGCUUCUCCUUUGACCUCAAAUCAGGUAGGACUACCCGCUGAACUUAAGCAUAC